ensembl:lncRNA
GAAGAACUGUAUCUCCAGUUCCUUUGUUUGGUUUUUGCUGGUUCGUGAAUUAUGGCUGGACGACAUCUCGCCUUCAACUCCUCUCCGUGGUCAGCAACUUUCGGCCAGUCCGCAGACAGACGAGAAGAAACUGCUGAAUGCUCUCAGUGGAUUGUCUCGUCAACUCCAACAACAAACUGCCGAUAUCAAUGAGCGGUUCGCUCAACCUGGAGACUCCCGAACUCUCCAGGUUGCUGUCCAUAGAGGAGAGGUGUCACGCCCUAAUUGUGUUCACCUGUUUUCACCUGUUUUUCCCCUGUCUCCUCCCACACCAGGUGUUCCCUGUUUGUCAAUUAUCCCUUGGGCAUAUAACCUGUGUCUUCUCCCUGUUCUUGUUGCCAGUUCGUCUUGUGUGUUUCACCAGGUCUUACCAGCGUUAUAUCCCCGUAGUUUCCAGUCGAUUCUUGAGAUUCCCCGUAUACUAACCCCUGCCUGCCUCCGACAACGACACGGCCUGCCACCUCUGUACCUCCGACCUCCUGUGUACCGAACUCUGGCCUGCCUCUGACAACGACACUGCCUGCCACCUCUGAACCCCUGAUCUCCCGUGCACCGAACUCCUGCCUGCCUCCGACAACGACACUGCCUGCCCGAAUUCCUCUUCAUUAAACCUUAUUCCUCAUAUCUGCGUUUGGGUCUCUGUCUGAGUUGUGAUAAGAGGUUGGCGGCUUUGGAGUCGGGAGGAACUGACUCAGAGGAGACGGGCGCACAAUCCCAAGAUAACGGAAGCGCUGCGCCGUCUUCACAACUCCGAGACGAAUUACAGGCGCUACGAACCGGAGCAUGGACUAAUCUCUCCUCAUAAUGAGGCGGUGACCUCGUAUUUGCUCCGGGAAAAGUCCAGAUUUCGAUUUAAAUAAAGUCAUUGUGUCCGCCUGUAAGACGUAUUUUGAGACUGUACGCAGGAGCUUCAGGUUUUCCCAGCCGGAACACUCAUUGCGGGCGGAAGCUGCGAAGAAUUCAGCGCGAAGUCGAGUGAGAAGAGUGGGUCAGAUUAUUUGCUGACUUUUUUCAGGUGCAUUGAUAGAUGUGUUGUGUCCAUACGCAUCGCACAGUACUGAUUCAUGACAGUUUACUGAGCUGUAGUUUUUUAAACCGCCUUUACCCAAGUGUGGGCAGAUCCUCACUUUGUAUAUAGUUGUUG